CUACGGGCUGCAGCAGUGGGGAAUCUUAGACAAUGGGGGAAACCCUGAUCUAGCCAUGCCGCGUGAUCGAUGAAGGCCUUAGGGUUGUAAAGAUCUUUCAGGUGGGAAGAUAAUGACUGUACCACCGGAAGAAGCCCCGGCUAACUCCGUGCCAGCAGCCGCGGUAAUACGGAGGGGGCUAGCGUUAUUCGGAAUUACUGGGCGUAAAGCGCACGUAGGCGGACCAGAAAGUCAGGGGUGAAAGCCCGGGGCUCAACCCCGGAACUGCCUUUGAAACUCCUGGUCUUGAGGUCGAGAGAGGUGAGUGGAAUUCCGAGUGUAGAGGUGAAAUUCGUAGAUAUUCGGAGGAACACCAGUGGCGAAGGCGGCUCACUGGCUCGAUACUGACGCUGAGGUGCGAAAGCGUGGGGAGCAAACAGGAUUAGAUACCCCGGUAGUC
rnacentral:rRNA from 1 species